rnacentral:misc_RNA from 1 species
GUUCGUCAUUGAUGGGGGCCAGCAAUACGCAAGCGUUGCCGGUUGUUCUGCAAACAAGAUCAGUGUCCAAGACUCGCAAGUCGAAGACGUCUUCAUUCAAGUUUGUGUUGCGAUUGUGAUAGUGUCCUGCAGGAAUAUAUAUAAAAAAUGGCGCCAACAGUAUUUCCGUACGAAAACUUCAGAGACGAUGAAGACGCACAAGCGUUAAAAGAUGCCAUGGAUGGUCUAGGAACGAACGAAAAUGCUAUCAUCGAGAUUUUAGCAAGGAGAACAAAUGAACAAAGACGGCAAAUUGAACAUACUUACAAAACCAUGUUUGGAGAGGACCUAAUAGAAACUCUAAAAGGGGAACUAGGAGGCGAUUUCGAGGACGUAAUACUGGCUCUGAUGAAAGAGCCGUUGGACUUCCAAGUUGAAGAAUUACAUAGAGCGAUCAGUGGAAUGGGAACAGACGACGAUUCCUUGGUAGAAAUAUUGGUUGUACAUGACAACGAAGAGAUUCAACGUCUCUCCGAGAGGUACCAAGAAUUGUAUGAAACUUCUUUAGAAGACGCCAUUAGAGGUGAUGAGUCAGGCACGUUACAAAGACUUCUCGUUUCUUUGUCAACGGGUGGUAGAGACGACUCUGGAUUGGUUGACAAAAACUCAGCCAUUGCCGAUGCCCAAGCACUAUACGAUGCCGGUGAAUCAUCGUGGGGAACUGAAGAAUCUGUUUUCAAUUCCAUUCUUUGCCUAAAAAAUAAAAGACAACUUAAACUCAUUUUCGACGAAUACGAAACUAUGAUCGGACAUUCCAUUGAAGACGCCAUCGACAAUGAAUUCUCAGGAAGUACCAAAAAUGCUUACUUAGCCCUAGUAACGUCAAUUAGGGAUAGACCCGUGUACUUGGCCACCAAACUCCACGACGCAAUGCAUGGUAUGGGCACAGACGACAAAACACUUAUCAGAAUUAUAGUAUCUAGAUCAGAAAUAGAUCUUGAAGAUAUUAAAGAAGCCUAUGAGGCCAAAUACGCUAAGACUUUGUACGAAAGGGUGUCGGAUGACUGCUCUGGAAAAUAUCUUAAGACAUUGUUGACAAUAAUAGGCUAAGAUGGACAAAAUUUUUGUUGAAUUUUGAAUUAUAACACUUGCCACAGAGUUAUUAUAGUAUUAGUUUAGUUAAAAGUUAUUAAAAAUGGAUUUGAGACAUUUCAUAAAGAUCAUUUUAAAUUCUAUGCAGACAAUAGGAUGAUGCUACUGGAAAAUACGCAAAAGCAUUAUUGACAUUAAUUGGUUAACUUUUCGAAAUGUUCUUUUCCAAAAUUUAGUGUGUACUUUUUGCUAGGUGUAUACUUGUUCAGUAUUGCGGUCAACAUAAAAGUUAAUAUAUCAGAAUUACUGUAUUUUGAAUAAAAGUCUUCAACGAAAUAAUGUUAAGUUAGUUUAUCUACUCAAAUUUUUUAUUCGUAAGUUCCCCUGAGGAUUAUUAUGUAUUUAAAAAAAUAUAUUUAGGUACUAGAAAUACUCAGAAAAAUGUAAGGUAUUUAGGUAUUUUCGGAAUAAGAGGGUUUGUGCAGUAGGUAUUCUUGAUGCUGAUGUUCACUCUACUACCAAUAUAUUUACAAUGACAAAAUAACAGCUGCCAAUAUAUUUAUAUAUUACACAAAAAAUUGUCUUAUUUUAGUUCUUUGUAGCCAUGGCAUGCAAACUAACCAAAACUUUUACUAUGUUUUGUUUUGAAUGCUUUUUCUCCAUGAAAAUAAAUGUGACCGUAUCAAAUAUAACAUCACUAUAAUGUUAUUUUUUCCAAAGUAGUUAAGAGACAUUUUUAGUGUCAUUGUUAACCUCCUUUUAACUAUUUAUGGUAAUUGUUUUCGUUGUUGUUAUUAACUUGCUAGAUCUAAUAGACGAAGAUGUAGUACAUUCAAUCAGUGUAGACGAGAUAAGACGAGCCUUUAAAGGAAAUGAAAAACGAGAAAGCCACAGGACCUUGAUACAUCCCCAUUGAAUUAAUAAAACUCGGACCAUUAAUAGUAAUAGAAUUUAUUAUUUAUCUAUUAAUAUAGAGAUAAUAAUUUAAGACUUUAAGACCACAGCGUGGGUAUUUCAUUACAGAAACCAGAAUUAUCGUCACCAGCCAUCACGACGAUAAAAUGUGAAAUCCCAUAGAAUCGUGCGUGUUUGACAAUUUAUAGGUUCUGAUAGUAAUUGAAAAGCAUUAUGAGGAUUCCAAUGAGGUACCUACUCAAAGAAAGAAUUUGUAGUUCGAUAAUUACCCAAACGUUUUUAAUAUAAAAGGGAGAUUUGAGGGGAAGUAGUGUAUGUCUAGGUAAUAAAAACUAUCCACAUACAUAAAGAAAAAGUGAUUGGAGGGUUUAAGUAUACACAUUCUUCCCACAUAAAACUCAAGAACUAGUGCAGAUAUGUACAGGACUGGCCAAAAUUUAAAAUUUAAGAAAAAUAGCAAGCUAAAAUAAUACUAUCAUCCUUAUCAAAAGCAAAAUCUCAGUUGAAGCCUAUGCGAUGGAUUUGAUACCCUCUAUAUAUUAGCAGAUUAUUUAGUUUACCAUACCACGUGGCAAGAAAUCAUAUCGAAAAUAUGCUCAUAUAUACUACUUUGGGAAAAAUAACAAUAUUUUCUUAUCUUAUAAGCACUUUCUUGUUUUAUUUCUAAUUAAAUAACAAAAAUACACGUUUUAUACAAAGUUGUUUUGAGAACUGUUACUUUAUCUACUUCUUUUCCAGAGCGACGAAUCUUCAAACGUCAGAAAGAUCCUGCUCGCUUUAAUUGAGUGAACUUUUAAAUAAUGUUUGAUAAAUGUGAGCUUAAAAUUCACAAAAUGCUUGAAACGGUAGACUGCACCUGAUAUUUGCUAAAUUUUUAUAAAAAAAAGUUAUGUUAAACCUAUUCUAAAAUGUAUUUAUUUCUAUUGAAUGUUAUAUAACGCUUAUAUAUUUUAUGAUUGUAUUUUUAGAUGGUUGUGACGCAAAUAAAUAUAUUUUACAAAA